AAGGCCGAAGCGUCCUUGACAUUCUUCAUGUACCAGCAGCUGCGAGCAGCUGCAGGCAAACCCUAGUGAGGCCCAUCAUCAGCGGCUAGAACAGCCCUUAAAACAGGCUCUGAUCGUACAAUUGCUCGGUGGGCUCAUGACCCUUGUCUCUGAGCCAUUCUCCAACACAUCGUCACAAAUGCCUUUUUUGGGAGUUUUUCCUUAGAUCCCUAUGUACUUAGGUGUUUAAGCAAGACUUCUAGCACAUGCUUCAUCCCAGUUGCACCCAUAUGUUUUUGUCACAGGCCACAGCAUUUAACUGUUCAGCCUGCCAUAGAUUCUUCCUCAUGGCCCCAUAGGUCUUAUCUGCCAGCGUCUCUGGUCCUGGAGGCAUAGUUAGAGUUUUUUGUCUUGUUUGUGUGCAGUGUUGGUCUGUGCAUGUUUGUGUCUGGGUUGGAACUGCUGCUCUGGGCAGCAUAGCAGUGGUAGUCAGCAAGAGAAUAACAAUGAGAAUGUAAGGCUACUGUGUUGAUAAGCCUAGACUUUGUAGGCAAAGAGUGUACAGUCCAUUUCAGAGUAGGUAGCCAUAUAUGCAGCAAGUGAGGCGACUUACUUCCAUAGCACUAUGCAGAGACACAAGGAAUGACCAGUUUUUAUAUGACAGACUGUAGUGAGAAUUGAGAUGGUACACCUAGAUGGAAACAAGACCUCUGGAAUUGUUAAGCUAUCGCUUGGCAAUCAGGUGACUUGUUCAAUAUAGCUCUUGCAGAUGAAGAAGGAUGACCUGUGUGCCAAAGGGCGGUGGAGGAGGUGAGUGGAGCGCUCCAAGAAGGUAGGGAAGAUGCAACUGGUUGCUCUGACUACCUUAUAGAUGUGUGUUUUUUUGAAGAUGCAAAGCAGUGAGCAAAGCCAGAUCCUGUGGUAUCUGGCAGCAACUGUUUGAAGCUUUUCUCUUUGGUUUUUGCAGGUGAUGUCCAGACAGCCUUUGGAAUUGGAUGAGCAUUGGUGGUCCCACAGGCAAUGAUGGCUGCAGCAUCCGACUGAAAUGAGCAGAUGAUGAAGAGGAACCUGGUGACUUGGGAACAUCCCAGUUAGCCGAUGUAGAUUUGGUGGAGGAUGAAUUUGGAGCUAUGUUUGGAGCCAAGUCCUGGCCCUCUGAAAGCUAAGCUGAAGGACCAGAUCUGGGAAGGGGCUUAGGAGGAAGGGACAGGGUUGCGAGUUGCAGGGAGGGGUAUUAAAGUUAGUGUAUGUGAGAGGGCUGUUCAGAAACAGUCCCCUUUGGGCUGGUAAAGAGAGUGGGUUCCUUUUCAGGACAAAACUGUGCUGAGACAGGGCAGUUCCAGCCAGUGUCAGCAUUGUGUAGUUUGUGUAUUCUGUCUUCUCUGUCUUAGACCUUCCUCAAGUUUCGAUGCUCUCGUUUCUCUUUGCACUCGAGGAGCACGGUGCAUGCCUUGGGCACCAUCUCUACGGUCUCAAAUGCCUGUCCUUGGUGGCAUAGUGCUGACUGGGCGCUUCUUGUUCUUGUGUUACAAGCUGAAAGUGUGGAUAGGUCUUAGGAGUUUCUAGUUGGUUCUCUUUUGUGGCAUCUUUCCAGGCUGUGUCAUCAGCUGUGCUCCUUAGGUGUCUAUUUUCAGACUGGUACUUUUUCCCUGCAUCUUUACAUUCUUAAGUCUUGAAGUCAGUCCUCUUGUGCAUCUGUUGUCUCAGUUUUGAUGAUAACUUCUUCUAACGGGCCAUUGUGUUUGACUUUUUUUUUUUUUUUUUUCUGGGGCUGCCAUAGGGCUUCCUUGCUUCAUGGUUGUGAUCAUCUAGGUCGUCUUGCUCAGCAGCAUCAUCUGCCUGGGAGUCAUUCUCAAUUAGAGUUUUCUCUCAUUAUUGAAUCACACUGUGUGUACUGUCAGUCUGUGCAUGUGUGUGUUUGUCUUGAAGGUGCUCUGCCCAGGGGUGUAGAGUCAGGGGUAGGUUGUGUAGCAGUAGGAGUCUAGGGUUAAUAUGUUGAUACACUUAGACCAUUUCGGCAACGUUUGCGUAGUCACUUCAGAUCAACUAGCCAUCAGCAGGCUGUGUGGACAGUCAUUUCUACAGUGUUUUAUGGAGAUGAUUUGAGCUCUGUGGGAGGGGCUGUUCUGCAGUAGUGAAGCAGAUUGAAUCUCAAAGGUGCUGAGACUUGUAGGUGUGGGGCUGACAGUUCAGUGUGGGAGUUGGUUUUGUUUUUCAGUGGCAGGCUGUAGUUAGACUCUAGAUGAUAUUCCUAGCUGGAAUCAAGACCUCGGGAUUUCUUAAGCUAUCACUUGUUAUCUGGGUGACUCAUCUACUAAUUCUUUUGAGGUGCAGAGAGAUGAGUUGCACACCAGAGUGAUGGAGGAGGUGAGCAGAGCUCCAUUAGAUGGUGGGUCAGUGAGUGGUAUAGGAAGAUGGAACUGGUGCUAUAACUAGCUUAUAGGUUUUCUUUUUGUGUGAUUUUUUUUUUUUUUAAUGUUGAUGAUGGAAAGCUGUGAGAAAAGUGGGAUAUUGGCACCAGAGCUGGCUCAGGCAAAGUGAGCAAGGACUAGGGGCCUGAAGUAGCAGUCAUUUUCCAGGUGUCCUAUCAUUGGUGAAGUUAGAAGCAUCCCUUGUCAUUUGUGUCUUACAGGUGGUAUGUAAACUGCAGAGAUAGGGUGGGUGAGCGACUAAAGCAAAGGAGCAGGACAUGGCAAUUGGUGUGGGCAGGUGGCAGUUUCAGGCAGUAUCUCAGCAUGUGUGCCUUGCUUUGGUUUUGGCAGGUGCCGCAGGUAGCCUCAGAGGGGCAAAGUCGCAUGCUGAUAGGCAGUCCAAGAAGGUGAGGAGGUUGUUGGCUGGGCUCGUGUCUAAUAAAAAAGUAUUAUAUGGCAACUUGGUUAAGCAUUUACCUCAGUUUUGCAGGUGCUGUGGGAGCCACCUUUGGAAUUGGAUGAGCCUUUGAGGUGAGCUGUGGUAGUAACGAGGAAGAUCAUGGGCCUUACAAUGUCUUACAAGUGCAAUGGUAAUUUUGUCCCUUGGGAUCUUAGGUACCAAAAAGUGAUGAUGGCCACAGUGUCUGACUCUGAAAUGAGUAGGUGAGCAGAGCUCCACAGUCCUUCUGAGGGAGGUGUUGUGGAUGAUGUAGGCAUUGACUGGUGUGAUGCUGAUUGCCAGCUCUGUUUUGUCUUUUGCCUUUUUGGUUUUUUUUUAUUGCAGGUAAAGAAGAACCUGGCCACUGCAGGAACAUCCCAGUUAGCCGGUGCAGAGGGAUAAGAUGCAUACCAAAGUGACAGAGGAGGUUUCUUCUUUUUUUGAAGGUGUGAAGUGGUGAGCAAAAUGGCAUAUUGGCACCAGAGCUGGCUCAGGCAAGCUGCCUUUGGAAUUGGAUGAACGCUUGAGAUGAUGAAGAGGAAGCUGGCAACUGAAGGGACAUCCCUGUUAGCUGAUGUGGUUUUUCUGUUGAGGAUGGAUUCAGACCUCUGGGCCUUUGAAAACUAUGAUGAGGGGACCAGGGCUGGAGAGAGGGGCUGGGAGGAGUGGACAAGGUGCUGCAUUCCUUUCCAGAGGGUUGAAGCUGCACAGCUAUGAGCAGUUUGAGAAAAGGCAAGAGAGUUAAGUGGUCCUCUUGGGCUGAAUUGCUUGAGGGUCCAUGCAACUGUUUGCGCAGGUAACAGUGGCAUGAAGUGAUUAAAGGAACCUUGCAUUUUGGUGACAAGGCCGCUACUGAGGAUGGCUACUAAGUACGGACCGUGACCUGUGGCACCAUGAAAGCUAAGUAGUGGGACAAAUCUGUGGGGAGUGGAGUCCAUGUGUGUCCAAACGUUGGCAUAAUGGGAGGGUUAGUCUGUGGGGAGUCAGCCUCGUGCAAGUGGAGGGAGUGAUACGUCUCGUGACGUGUGCCCUGGCAAAGCAGCUCUGGGAUGAGUUGGUGGAGUUGUGUGCAGUAUGUCUAGUGUGUGUUCAUACGUGUUCCUUAGUUACCUGAUGUGUUAAUGUUCAUCUUGGCCUUCAUGUCUGAGAAGCCUAAGGCAUACUCAUCCUACUGCAAUCACAAUAGCCAUCCGUUGCAUCUCUGCAGCCUCCCGUUAUCGGCACGGUACCAAUUCUGACUUGUUUAGCAGCAUGACAUAGAAGCUCAAUGCUGCCGGUCUGGUUUAGCAUUGUGGGUGCAUUUGUCCAGUCUUCCUUGCAGCUCUGGCUUGGGCCUAACCAUCAGGUCUCAUCUCGAUGACUCUCUUUCUUGAGACUGCUUCCAGAGUGCUUCCUGUGUCAUCCUAGUCUUCAGUCUUUCCCAGCAAUUUGUCUCCAUCGGUCACGGUGUCUAGGGCCAUUGGGAUUCUGGGAGCAAAUCCUUCCGUGGGGCUUGCUGGAGUGUGCACUUCAAAGCACAGGAAGAGUAGAAGUGGUGCAAAGAGGGAAAUGUAUCCCUCUGCUUCCAGUUAGGAAGGGUAAUGCUGUGAAAUCAUGUGGACUGGUGAUGUUGUGUUGAGGUAUAUGGUGAUGCGGUUGCAGGGAUGGUUAUAGAAUUGGGGUGAUCUGCCACUGGCAGGUGACGAAGUAGACAUGUUUUGAGUGAGGGGUGGAAUGAGCAGAUGCCAAAUGAGUGUUAGUUUUGGAAUGUGUCUAUCCUUGUAGGUGUGGAUUUCUUCUUUUUCAGGUUGUACUGAAUGUAGAGGUAGUUAAUAUUUUCUUAACAAUAAAUAAAAAAACUCCUCAA